rnacentral:rRNA from 1 species
UACAGAGGUGGCAAGCGUUGUUCGGAAUUACUGGGCGUAAAGGGCGCGUAGGUGGCCUUCUUAGUCAGACGUGAAAUCCCCAGGCUUAACCUGGGAACUGCGUCUGAUACUGGAAGGCUCGAGUUCGGGAGAGGAAUGUGGAAUUCCAGGUGUAGCGGUGAAAUGCGUAGAUAUCAGGAGGAAUACCCAUAGCGAAGGCAGCUCGCUGGGACGUUACUGACGCUGAGGCGCGAAAGCGUGGGGAGCGAACAGG